CUUCAUACACAUGAGAGCAUAGUGUACAAGCACAGGUACCUAAGCCAUGGAUUUUAUCAUCACAUGUAUUAUGUCUGGAGCUAUUCUAAUAGGAGGACUUCAAGGCCAGUCUGUAGACCAGACAUCGGCACCUCAGAUCAUUCUUGAAGGAGACUCUCUAUUGCUGGAAUGCACAUAUAAAAUUUCGGGCAAUCCUUAUCUUUUUUGGUAUGUUUCGUAUCCGGGUCAAGCUCCUACCAUGCUGCUUAACGAUCUAACACGGAAGAGUGAUAAAGGAUUUACAGGAACACAUGAUUCGAAGAAAUUUUCUUAUAACAUGACUAAAAAUGUGGUUGAAGUUGAUGACUCUGGAGUGUAUUACUGCGCUGUGAGUGACACAGUGAAUAAAAUCCACAGCACACCUGUCUCAUAA